rnacentral:lncRNA from 1 species
AUCCACGACAUGAUUGUACACUUUCCAUGCGGCCACUUGAUGUAUUUAAAGCCUCAAGAUGAACUUUAUCGCAAUCAAAGAGCUUUUCUCCACAGCUACUCCGGUGUGAGCUGCAGCGACUCAGGAGAUUGUUAACAAAGCAGGGAUAAGCGUGAUGGCUGCCACUUCAUACCUUUUGUUGCUUGGUGUGCUCAUAUUCAGCGACCUCCUUCAUCAAUGCAGAGCAUCUCAUAAUAUGAAAUGUGACCGUGAGCUAAAAAAGAUGCUGAACCACGUUUUUGUGUGGAGAGACAUAAAAAAAGUCUCCUGUGAUUACGUGAAAUUUGAUGAAGAUUAUGACAACACCAUCAUCCUCCACCCACUGAGGUUCCAGUUGAUUGAAGCAUCACAUAUGCAAUGCAUAUGCCAGGCGAUUGUCAACCUGUACGUGGAGGUGUUCGAAUCUGUGGAUAUUGUGGAUAUGAAGCUGAUGAGGCUUAAACAUGCAUUUGGUAAUCUGCAAGAAAUGAUCAAGGGAAAGCAGCAGGCAUGUAAAACUUCAAAAAAUUCGAAAAGCUCCAAUCAGCUUCAUAAAAUUCAAAAAGCUUCUGCAAAGCUUAAAACAAAAGGGCAGAAGGAAUCCAUCGUGAACAAAGCUCUUGGAGAACUUGAUCAUUUGCGGCGGACAUACCUUGCAUCUUCGGGAAAGCAUGGCAACAGUGUUGAUUGUUCGGCAUAGGUGAAUGAUUUGUUAAAGAAACUGAGGCAGAAAUAUAUCCCGUAUCACCCAACCCAGGUAGUGACUUUUCGAAACAGUUCUGGGCUAUUUUGCAAAAGCCCCUUGCUUGCAACAAUCAAUAAGUUCUCCCACUUUGCUUUAUGAAAGCUUAUUUAUUUUAUUUAUUUUGACCUGUGAAAGUCUCUGAUGACAAAUCUAUUGUGUCCGUAAUGACUAUUAUCACUGAUGAUAACUUUAUGUUUCUUCCAAUUAGGGUAAUUAAACACUUUUCCAUGAACCAUAAGAUAAACAAUUUUUUUCCACUACAUUGUUUCUCUUUAUUAUAGGUGAAACAAGUCAAUGCGGAAAUGCAGUAAAUAAAGCUUUACUUCCGAUGAGCAAUCACAGACAACCUAGAAUAUUACCUUUCAUGUUACCUCAAUUAAACAUAUUUACAAGAUGAAAUGUUUUUACAUUUUGCAAUAAUCAGUAGGGCCUAUAUUUUAAACUAUAUUAUAUAUCGUGCAGUUUUUAUCCUGACUUUGUAAAAAAACA